CGUCUGCCGACCACAUAUUUUGCCCAGCGUCUAGAAGACAGAACAGUGUCAAUAAAAGUCCGGACUAGGGUUUCAAGUACGCAAGCCGGUACUUGCGUGGCGAUCUCCAUGUAACCGCAGCAGGAGAAAGGCAGACGACGGCAACAACAAAAGCCGGGGAGCAACAAAAGCGCCUGGAUCCCGGAGGAGGAGGAUGGAGAGGGGGAGUCGUCCCAAAUCUGCCCCGUGCGUGACGUCACGAGAUUUCCUCCUCCCGAACAAGCGGCAGCUGGAGCCUGGAGCUGGCGGAGCCGCAUAGGGUCCGUCGCUGCAAUACAUGUCUGGACCGGGUACCACAGUCAGGCACGAUGGAUACACCACCACCACCGUCUCUCCUCAGUUUCUACCGCUGACUGCACCGACCACCGCUACAUCCCGAGGUCGCCUGCCGCGGCGGAUGCUCUAGCGGCCGAGAGAGACAAGAGGUGGGAGGAGGCGUCCCCGCCGUUCUUCUCCGACUAGCAGGCUGAGCAUCCAACAGAGCACCUCCGGAAACAAGAGAAGAGAAAUAACAUAAUAGCGGAGAGGGAGAGAGAAUACAGAAUACAAAGAGGGUGAGAGAAAGGGAGGGAAAGAAAGAGAAAUUGUUGAGAAAGUGAGCCAAGCACAGGGGACAAGGAUUCUUAACUCCCCUCACCUGCAGACCUGGAGAGAGAGAGAGAGAGAGAGAGAGAGAGAGAGAGAGAGAGAGAGAGAGAGAGAGAGAGAGAGAGAGAGAGAGAGAGA
ensembl:lncRNA